UUGGUGUUCUAAAAAACAAUAUUUCCCUGUAGCCUCGCCCCUUUUCUUAGAAUCACAAGCGGCAUAACAUCGGUGGAAGACGGUUGUGUAUUUGGGUUAAAAGGUGAUCUACCACGCUCAUUAUAAUUAUCAAUAUGUCUUUUCAGAUAGUAAACAUCAAUGUUAGAAGUGAUGCGGUACAAAUUGGGAAUGGUCAAAAUGCCCUACACAUCAACAAUCAGCUACGGGAGGAGGUGGGUGAACUGAGAGAAGAGGUGAAUGAGUUAAAAGUAAGGGUAAGGCAACUGGAGGCUAAAGUACAGACUAAUGCUGACAGAGACACUGAGGAACCAGAAUAUCAGAUGGAUGACGAGGAGGAGGCUAUGAUUACUCUUGACAUCGUUAGUAUUGAUGGGAAUUUUGAAAUAAUGAUAAGUGUUAGCCGAGAUAAAACUGUCAGUGAUCUAGAAAAGAUCAUACAGGAGGAGUGUAGAAGGAAGUAUGAUGGAAUUGUAACAGCUUCUAGUAUUCUGUGUAUCGGCAGUAGAAACAGACAUGAUGAUAUCGACAACACUCUAACAUUAGCAGAUUAUGGUUUAGAGGAUGGUGAUACAGUCUACACUUUGAUGUAUAUGUGAUUGUAAAACAGGAAGAGCUCAUCUAGAUAUAGUCUUGUUCAGUGAACUGAUAUUUAUACUUUUGUCAUUUGAUUACUUUUAUUGGGAACCCUAGCCUUAUGUCAAUUGGAUUUUAUAUUAUGCUGUAGAACUGCACAAUAAAAUACAGACAUAACAAUAAGAACAACCUUUAUUCAACGAUAUUUAAUUUAUAACACUACAAAAAAGACUCGGGCGACAAACUGACAGUGACAAAACGAAACUUGGUUUAUAACACUACAAGAAAGACUCAGACGACAAACUGACACUUAUUAUAAAAUUAUUAUAGAUCAAAACACCUGCAUACUUAAAAGGCUUAAUUCUAUACUGACUAAAUACUUUUUUAAUCUUACAAACAAUGGAAAUAAUUACAAAGGUUUAUUUAGUCUUUGUGUGUAUGACAGAUGGGAAACGUAGUAGAGCCACAUUGUAAAAUAGUUUACUGCCAGAGAUCUAUUCUCGAGGGCAGAGAUCUAUUCUCGAGGUAGUUAGUUCUCUGUGUGCAAAAUGAUCAUCUAUGGCUUUCUUAUAGUGAAAUGAAAUGAAAUGGGGUUUAACGUCCUACUGUUCUGCUCCGAACUGGGCUAAUGAAGACGGGGAUACGCCAAACAGUAUGCUAUGGGGGAAAUUUUGCCCGGACAGCGGCACUACGGCCUACUCUUAUAUCGAAUUUCAACUGUCAAGGGGUCUUUUACGUGCAUGCAAAUGUGUACACGGGGCCUCGGUUUUUCGUCCCAUCCGAACGACUAGACAGUUGUCCUGCAUCACUGUCAAGGGGGGACCACGCAGGAAAAUCUGGGUGUUAACUUUCUCGGCCAAUGCAGGGAUCGAACACCCUACCUCCAAGCUAGCGAGCCAGCGUCUUACCCACUUAGCCACCGUGACCCCCUUUCUUAUAGUGACUUAAACAGCCAUACCUCCAAAGAUCAAUCUUGUAACACUAUCUUAGUGAUAACAGCGAUCAGUUUAGUAAAUAUAUCAUUGAUUUACAGCAGGUAUAUAAAACAGCUGCAUACAUACGACAACAAUACAGGUACUUAAACUAAUAUACAGGAACUAGACUAUAUGUAUAUGUAGUUUGUAAAUGACAUAUGGGAUUAAUUACAUGUUUAAUUAGAUCAUCGCCAGUCCGUAUCUUAACCGAAGUUUAUACAGAGUUGAAAAGUCAGUAUCAUAUGUUAUCAAAACAAAAAUCAGCUGAGAUCAUACAGUUCUAAGCAUUUAAAUGGCCGUUCAAUUUGAUGAAAGUUAUAGAGUACUUUGUUACAAUCUUGCAUCUGAAUACGUCGAUUUGAAGAUCAGGAACAAUUUCUCCGUUCGUGCCCUUUACAAGUUACGACUGCGGCAUCAAUCAAUACAAACGUUUCUAUUGAUAAACAGGCUUCAACCAUUCAGAUCUUUAAAAUAGUAUAUGAAUACUUUGAGGUCAAGAAUCGAUUCAAUAUUUAAGUCAUACUUUUUUCUGAUCAAUUGUUAAUUAAUUUCUUUUCUCUUUUGUAUAUAAAGUUUGUACAACAAUU